GCCUCGAUCCCAGGCCGAGUUUUCGCUUUUAUAACGGUUAGGCGAACAACUGGGCCUGGUACUAGUUGUCUGCGCAUGCGUCAAUCGUUUGUCAGAUUCUGACAAAUGGAUAUUCUCGUUCACUUUCGUGACAUUUAUAUUCGUGUACUAUCGUGUACUAGAAGUCAGUUCCCGUUUUAUCAUUAUUGGAAUCGAUUGGAAUGGCUCUUAGCUGAAGCUUCUCUCUUCUCUGAAGCUUAUUCUGAAGACUGAACAACAAGGGAAGAGGUAUAAAGCUUUGUCAAGCUUGUUAAGGUCAGAUAUUUUUGUGUGGGCCCUAUGGCCGGCUAUGCUAUCAAGUCUUGUUCAUGUUUGGCAAGAAUGUAGGUAGACUAUAGUUUCAUCAUUAAUAUGGUGGAUCAAGUGAAGAGUGUGAGCUAGAGAACUUGGUGCUGCCAUCAUCAGCUCGUCGACAAUGACACUAUAACCGAGAAAUUUAAUAUGUAUAGAUCUACACGUAUUUAAAAUGUCUACUUCUCUGUACAGGAGCAAUGGCUAAUAUCCAGCUAUCCCAACAGUGCUCCUCUUGGCUAUACUAACGGACGAGACUGGACAGUUUGAGACACAGGACUGGAGUAUGACCUGCUCAUUCGAGCGUUGCUGGGUAGCUCAGAGACAUCAAGAGAAUCUACGUUUUCUCAAGCAAUGAGUUACGAGUUGGGGCCUAGAAUCAGAGAAGUCCAGCAGCCUGCUAAAUCUUUUUGAAACGUAAUUUGAAGGCAUUCAAUCAUCCUGAAGUUGCCCUGGGUCACUGUAAUUGUGCUGCAGCACAACUGGCAACUCCCCAGGCCUUUGUGAAGCAGCUCCCUAUGUGCAUCUUUUGUGUACUCACUCUGUGCAUUUUCUGUGUACAAAUUUCCAUUAUUGAUUUAUUAAAUAUUUUUGCCGACCACAAA